AUGCAAACAUUUUUUUUUUUUAAAAAAAAGAGAAAAUGCUAUAUUAAGACCAUGCAUGUGUCCCCAGACCUAGUUCUUUCCCUAGGUCUGGUUUUCUAAAUGCUGGUGAUAAAA